AAAUUGAAGAGUUUGAUCAUGGCUCAGAUUGAACGCUGGCGGCAGGCCUAACACAUGCAAGUCGAACGGUAACAGGAAGCAGCUUGCUGCUUUGCUGACGAGUGGCGGACGGGUGAGUAAUGUCUGGGAAACUGCCUGAUGGAGGGGGAUAACUACUGGAAACGGUGGCUAAUACCGCAUAACGUCGCAAGACCAAAGAGGGGGACCUUCGGGCCUCUUGCCAUCAGAUGUGCCCAGAUGGGAUUAGCUUGUUGGUGAGGUAACGGCUCACCAAGGCGACGAUCCCUAGCUGGUCUGAGAGGAUGACCAGCCACACUGGAACUGAGACACGGUCCAGACUCCUACGGGAGGCAGCAGUGGGGAAUAUUGCACAAUGGGCGCAAGCCUGAUGCAGCCAUGCCACGUGUAUGAAGAAGGCCUUCGGGUUGUAAAGUACUUUCAGCGGGGAGGAAGGUGUUGUGGUUAAUAACCGCAGCAAUUGACGUUACCCGCAGAAGAAGCACCGGCUAACUCCGUGCCAGCAGCCGCGGUAAUACGGAGGGUGCAAGCGUUAAUCGGAAUUACUGGGCGUAAAGCGCACGCAGGCGGUCUGUCAAGUCGGAUGUGAAAUCCCCGGGCUCAACCUGGGAACUGCAUUCGAAACUGGCAGGCUUGAGUCUUGUAGAGGGGGGUAGAAUUCCAGGUGUAGCGGUGAAAUGCGUAGAGAUCUGGAGGAAUACCGGUGGCGAAGGCGGCCCCCUGGACAAAGACUGACGCUCAGGUGCGAAAGCGUGGGGAGCAAACAGGAUUAGAUACCCUGGUAGUCCACGCCGUAAACGAUGUCUACUUGGAGGUUGUGCCCUUGAGGCGUGGCUUCCGGAGCUAACGCGUUAAGUAGACCGCCUGGGGAGUACGGCCGCAAGGUUAAAACUCAAAUGAAUUGACGGGGGCCCGCACAAGCGGUGGAGCAUGUGGUUUAAUUCGAUGCAACGCGAAGAACCUUACCUGGUCUUGACAUCCACAGAACUUUCCAGAGAUGGAUUGGUGCCUUCGGGAACUGUGAGACAGGUGCUGCAUGGCUGUCGUCAGCUCGUGUUGUGAAAUGUUGGGUUAAGUCCCGCAACGAGCGCAACCCUUAUCCUUUGUUGCCAGCGGUCCGGCCGGGAACUCAAAGGAGACUGCCAGUGAUAAACUGGAGGAAGGUGGGGAUGACGUCAAGUCAUCAUGGCCCUUACGACCAGGGCUACACACGUGCUACAAUGGCGCAUACAAAGAGAAGCGACCUCGCGAGAGCAAGCGGACCUCAUAAAGUGCGUCGUAGUCCGGAUUGGAGUCUGCAACUCGACUCCAUGAAGUCGGAAUCGCUAGUAAUCGUGGAUCAGAAUGCCACGGUGAAUACGUUCCCGGGCCUUGUACACACCGCCCGUCACACCAUGGGAGUGGGUUGCAAAAGAAGUAGGUAGCUUAACCUUCGGGAGGGCGCUUACCACUUUGUGAUUCAUGACUGGGGUGAAGUCGUAACAAGGUAACCGUAGGGGAACCUGCGGUUGGAUCACCUCCUUA
rnacentral:rRNA from 1 species